GAUGAACGCUAGCGGCAGGCUUAAUACAUGCAAGUCGAGGGGUAGCAAGAUUGUAGCAAUACAAUUGUUGACGACCGGCAAACGGGUGCGGAACACGUACACAACCUUCCUACAAGUGGGGAAUAGCCCAGCGAAAUUUGGAUUAAUACCCCGUAACAUAGCGAUGUGGCAUCACAUUGCUAUUAUAGCUUCGGCGCUUGUUGAUGGGUGUGCGGCUGAUUAGAUAGUUGGCGGGGUAACGGCCCACCAAGUCUACGAUCAGUAGCUGAUGUGAGAGCAUGAUCAGCCACACGGGCACUGAGACACGGGCCCGACUCCUACGGGAGGCAGCAGUAAGGAAUAUUGGACAAUGGACGCAAGUCUGAUCCAGCCAUGCCGCGUGAAGGAUUAAGGUCCUCUGGAUUGUAAACUUCUUUUAUAAGGGACGAAAAAAGGUCUUUCUAGAUCGUCUGACGGUACCUUAUGAAUAAGCUCCGGCUAACUCCGUGCCAGCCGCCGCCGUAAUAC
rnacentral:rRNA from 1 species